rnacentral:rRNA from 1 species
UUAAGCGACUAAGCGUACACGGUGGAUGCCCUGGCAGUCAGAGGCGAUGAAGGACGUGCUAAUCUGCGAUAAGCGUCGGUAAGGUGAUAUGAACCGUUAUAACCGGCGAUUUCCGAAUGGGGAAACCCAGUGUGAUUCGUCACACUAUCAUUAACUGAAUCCAUAGGUUAAUGAGGCGAACCGGGGGAACUGAAACAUCUAAGUACCCCGAGGAAAAGAAAUCAACCGAGAUUCCCCCAGUAGCGGCGAGCGAACGGGGAGCAGCCCAGAGCCUGAAUCAGUGUGUGUGUUAGUGGAAGCGUCUGGAAAGGCGCGCGAUACAGGGUGACAGCCCCGUACACAAAAAUGCACAUACUGUGAGCUCGAUGAGUAGGGCGGGACACGUGGUAUCCUGUCUGAAUAUGGGGGGACCAUCCUCCAAGGCUAAAUACUCCUGACUGACCGAUAGUGAACCAGUACCGUGAGGGAAAGGCGAAAAGAACCCCGGCGAGGGGAGUGAAAAAGAACCUGAAACCGUGUACGUACAAGCAGUGGGAGCACGCUUCGGCGUGUGACUGCGUACCUUUUGUAUAAUGGGUCAGCGACUUAUAUUCUGUAGCAAGGUUAACCGAAUAGGGGAGCCGAAGGGAAACCGAGUCUUAACUGGGCGUUAAGUUGCAGGGUAUAGACCCGAAACCCGGUGAUCUAGCCAUGGGCAGGUUGAAGGUUGGGUAACACUAACUGGAGGACCGAACCGACUAAUGUUGAAAAAUUAGCGGAUGACUUGUGGCUGGGGGUGAAAGGCCAAUCAAACCGGGAGAUAGCUGGUUCUCCCCGAAAGCUAUUUAGGUAGCGCCUCGUGAAUUCAUCUCCGGGGGUAGAGCACUGUUUCGGCAAGGGGGUCAUCCCGACUUACCAACCCGAUGCAAACUGCGAAUACCGGAGAAUGUUAUCACGGGAGACACACGGCGGGUGCUAACGUCCGUCGUGAAGAGGGAAACAACCCAGACCGCCAGCUAAGGUCCCAAAGUCAUGGUUAAGUGGGAAACGAUGUGGGAAGGCCCAGACAGCCAGGAUGUUGGCUUAGAAGCAGCCAUCAUUUAAAGAAAGCGUAAUAGCUCACUGGUCGAGUCGGCCUGCGCGGAAGAUGUAACGGGGCUAAACCAUGCACCGAAGCUGCGGCAGCGACACUAUGUGUUGUUGGGUAGGGGAGCGUUCUGUAAGCCUGUGAAGGUGUACUGUGAGGUAUGCUGGAGGUAUCAGAAGUGCGAAUGCUGACAUAAGUAACGAUAAAGCGGGUGAAAAGCCCGCUCGCCGGAAGACCAAGGGUUCCUGUCCAACGUUAAUCGGGGCAGGGUGAGUCGACCCCUAAGGCGAGGCCGAAAGGCGUAGUCGAUGGGAAACAGGUUAAUAUUCCUGUACUUGGUGUUACUGCGAAGGGGGGACGGAGAAGGCUAUGUUGGCCGGGCGACGGUUGUCCCGGUUUAAGCGUGUAGGCUGGUUUUCCAGGCAAAUCCGGAAAAUCAAGGCUGAGGCGUGAUGACGAGGCACUACGGUGCUGAAGCAACAAAUGCCCUGCUUCCAGGAAAAGCCUCUAAGCAUCAGGUAACAUCAAAUCGUACCCCAAACCGACACAGGUGGUCAGGUAGAGAAUACCAAGGCGCUUGAGAGAACUCGGGUGAAGGAACUAGGCAAAAUGGUGCCGUAACUUCGGGAGAAGGCACGCUGAUAUGUAGGUGAAGCGACUUGCUCGUGGAGCUGAAAUCAGUCGAAGAUACCAGCUGGCUGCAACUGUUUAUUAAAAACACAGCACUGUGCAAACACGAAAGUGGACGUAUACGGUGUGACGCCUGCCCGGUGCCGGAAGGUUAAUUGAUGGGGUUAGCGGUAACGCGAAGCUCUUGAUCGAAGCCCCGGUAAACGGCGGCCGUAACUAUAACGGUCCUAAGGUAGCGAAAUUCCUUGUCGGGUAAGUUCCGACCUGCACGAAUGGCGUAAUGAUGGCCAGGCUGUCUCCACCCGAGACUCAGUGAAAUUGAACUCGCUGUGAAGAUGCAGUGUACCCGCGGCAAGACGGAAAGACCCCGUGAACCUUUACUAUAGCUUGACACUGAACAUUGAGCCUUGAUGUGUAGGAUAGGUGGGAGGCUUUGAAGUGUGGACGCCAGUCUGCAUGGAGCCGACCUUGAAAUACCACCCUUUAAUGUUUGAUGUUCUAACGUUGGCCCGUGAUCCGGGUUGCGGACAGUGUCUGGUGGGUAGUUUGACUGGGGCGGUCUCCUCCUAAAGAGUAACGGAGGAGCACGAAGGUUGGCUAAUCCUGGUCGGACAUCAGGAGGUUAGUGCAAUGGCAUAAGCCAGCUUGACUGCGAGCGUGACGGCGCGAGCAGGUGCGAAAGCAGGUCAUAGUGAUCCGGUGGUUCUGAAUGGAAGGGCCAUCGCUCAACGGAUAAAAGGUACUCCGGGGAUAACAGGCUGAUACCGCCCAAGAGUUCAUAUCGACGGCGGUGUUUGGCACCUCGAUGUCGGCUCAUCACAUCCUGGGGCUGAAGUAGGUCCCAAGGGUAUGGCUGUUCGCCAUUUAAAGUGGUACGCGAGCUGGGUUUAGAACGUCGUGAGACAGUUCGGUCCCUAUCUGCCGUGGGCGCUGGAGAACUGAGGGGGGCUGCUCCUAGUACGAGAGGACCGGAGUGGACGCAUCACUGGUGUUCGGGUUGUCAUGCCAAUGGCACUGCCCGGUAGCUAAAUGCGGAAGAGAUAAGUGCUGAAAGCAUCUAAGCACGAAACUUGCCCCGAGAUGAGUUCUCCCUGACUCCUUGAGAGUCCUGAAGGAACGUUGAAGACGACGACGUUGAUAGGCCGGGUGUGUAAGCGCAGCGAUGCGUUGAGCUAACCGGUACUAAUGAACCGUGAGGCUUAACCUU